ACAAACAUCAAUGAUCUAAUCACAGCCUCUAAUAUGAACGUUUUAAUAGAGGUAUUAUAUAAAAAUACUGAUCAGAUGUUAUCUUCAUUAUUUAACAUUUUAAAAUUAACUCACAUGAAUAGAAUGCGGCCAAUCUCUCUUUAAGUUGUCAAAUACUUGUGGGAUAUCUGAAAAAUCCAUCUUUUUUAAUGUGAUAUCUCCAGUCAAUGGGUGGGACAUCAGCAACACAUUUUUCAAAGCAUACUUACCCUACAAGAAAAGGCCAUAAGGGUUCUGGCUGGACUCAGAUGAAUGGAGCUGUAGAGAGCCGUUCUAGAACAUGAGGAUUCUAACAGUUGUAGCAAUUUACGUCCAGUAUUGCGUGUUAGUAUUUAGUAUUGCAUUUGAAUGGCUUAGAAGUAGAGAUAUACAUUAACAUCAUACAAGACCUGAUGGCCUAUACAACCUUCCAAAUCACCAUCUUCAACUGUAUGAAAGAAAACCAUCAUACAACAGACGGAAAAUCUACAACCACCUUCCACCAGAGCUUCGAUCAAAGACUCCCUGUGAAAUCACUGAAGUCAGCACUGCAAGAAUGGCUACAGACCCAACCUUUUUUACUCACUGGAAAAAUACCUACAAAGAGAUUGUUACUUUCUUUUUUCUAUACUUAUAAUCUACCUUUCCAAAAUAUAAACAAUAAUUAAUUUUAAAUGUAAUUAUUUUCGACACCAUUUUGUAAUCAUAUAAUAUAACCUUUGAUAUGAAAUUUUUAUUGUAUGAUUAUUAAUAAAGAUGGUUACAUAUCUGCUUA